GACGAACGCUGGCGGCGUGCCUAACACAUGCAAGUCGAGCGGGAACCUCAGGAGGGGUAACCCACCUGAGGGGAGAGCGGCGAACGGGUGAGUAUCACGUGGGCAACCUGCCCCGGACACCGGGAUAACCCAGGGAAACCUGAGCUAAUACCGGAUACUCCGGAGCGACCACAUGGUCGCUCCGGGAAAGCCUUGACGGUCCGGGAUGGGCCCGCGGCCUAUCAGCUUGUUGGUGGGGUAAUGGCCCACCAAGGCGACGACGGGUAGCUGGUCUGAGAGGACGGCCAGCCACACUGGGACUGAGACACGGCCCAGACUCCUACGGGAGGCAGCAGUGGGGAUCUUGCGCUAAUGCGCGAAAGCGUGACGCAGCGACGCCGCGUGGGGAUGAAGGCCCUCGGGUUGUAAACCCCUUUCGGCAGGGACGAAGCGAAAGUGACGU
rnacentral:rRNA from 1 species